GGACUACCAGGGUAUCUAAUCCGUUUUGCUCCCCACGCUUUCAUGCCUCAAUGUCAGUAACAGAAUGGUUAACUGCCUUCGCCUUAUCGGUGUUCUUCCAUAUAUCGUCACAUUUUACCGCUCCACAUGGAGUUCCGUUAACCUCUCCUGCACUCGAGCAUGACAGUAUUACUAGCUUCCACGAGGUUGAGCCUCGAUUUACCACUAAUAACUUAUCACGCCAUCUACGCAUCCUUUACGCCCAAUAAUUCCGGAUAACGUUUGCGACCUAUGUCUUACCGCGGCUGCUGGCAC
rnacentral:rRNA from 1 species